GCUCCCAUCGUCUAGCGGUCUAGGACGCCGCCCUCUCACGGCGGAAACACGGGUUCGAGUCCCGUUGGGAGUGCCA
rnacentral:tRNA from 3 species